AUGCACGAGUGUGUAAUCAACAUCGGGACUGCCUUACCGAAAUCCUUAAAGCAUCUGACAAUCAGAGAUACAAGUUUUGGCUCUCAGGAUUCCCCCUGUCUUACUUCUGCGCCAGGUCUGGUUACCUUGGAAGUUGCUGACUGUCAUGGUUGGACCCCGUUGUUUAAGAGCUUGCCAUCACUAGUUGCGGCAUUUAUAAACACCGAAUAUGUCUUGAAGGGUUCUUCCGGAAAUAGUUUCAAUGGGUACUGUGGUCAUGAGCAAUGUGUGGUGUGCCAUGGUAUAGCUGAUUUUGUGUUUCUUGAAGGUUUGUCGGGCGCUACGAAUUUAGAGUUGACAGCUGAAUACUUUAUGAUUUUCAGAACAGAUAUAGAAUGGUGCCCUAUGUUUAGCAGGCUAAAAACAUUGUUGCUCAGUGACUGGUGUAUGGCUCAGUACUUCCAUGGACUAGUUUUCUUUCUCAAGCACUCACCGAUUCUAGAGAGGCUUACCCUUGAACACUGUACUUUAUCUAAGCAAUGGUAUGAUACCACGACUGAAACCUACAAGCCAAAGGACAAAUUCUUGGUAUCAAAGCAUCUCAAGGCAGUCGAAAUCAAUCAUGUGAAAGGUGAUAAAAGGAUUCACCUAUUAUUGAAGGUCCUUGCUUUCCAUGGAGUAUAUUCGGAACUAAUAAACUUUAAAGAGAAGUAUACUUCUUAA
rnacentral:rRNA from 1 species